CACAGGUCCAACAUGAUGUCAUAUGGUAUGGAGCAUCCCUGUGGUCAGUUUGGGUCAUCUGUCCUGGUUUUGUUCUCUCACAGCUCCCUGUGCACUCCCCGCCUGCCUUGAUGGUGAGACAGUACAAGACGCUAAGAAAACUGAAAUGUCCUCAGCUCUUUGCAGCACUGCUCAGCAACAACUAAAACAUCAAUGUUACAUCAACAUCAUUUUUCACCUAAAGCCAAAACAUAGGAUAAUACCGACCACUAUGAAGAAAAUCAACUAAUUCCCAGAUGAAAUAAGGACAUUUUUCAUGGUAAUUCCAGCGAUGAAAAGCAGAACAUCACUACAGUUUACCUACUAUGAUGGAGAAUAUUUUGGAAGCUAUCUGUUUGGUCAAGGAAAAGUGACACAGUAUUCUAAGGAAGCACUGAUGUGUUAUCUACUAAUAGCCUGCUUCUCAGAAAAUAAAACAGGGAGCUGGAAGUGCACAAGGAAAAAUAUAAGUUCAAAAACUGAACAAAUAAUAAAAUGAGCACUAAGAUAAGAUACAAAUGAUUUCACUUUCUCAUUAGUAUAUGUUGUUUAUACAAAAAAUCUUACAAACAUUCCCACUUGAACUCUUCUUUACAGAGACUGAGGUUGAUGUUUUCAAAUGUUUCUAGAAGAGCAGAAUCUUCCAUUUGUUGGUUUUACCAAAUCCUUAGAUUAAAAAAAUAAUAAUAAUUACUACUGACAUUUUUAUGUGUCACUAUGGAAAGUUUUGAUAAAAAAUAUAAAAUUUUAGUUUAUUUAUAGUGUUUUAAACAGAAUUCUGAGGUGUAUAGGUGAUUCUGCCCCUCAGCUCUGCUCUUGUGAGACACCACCUGGAGUACUGCACGCUGUUCUGGGGCCCCCAACACAAGAAGGACGUGGAGCUGCUGGAUCAGGUCCAGAGGAGGGCCAAGAAGAUGAUCGGAGAACUGGAGCACCUCCCCUACAGGGACAAGCUGAGGGAGCUGGGGCUUUUCACCCUGAAGAAGAGAAGGCCUCAGGGGAACCUUAUAGCAGCCUUCCAGUACCUGAAGGGGACCUACAAGAGAGCAACAGCUGAACUCAAACAACCCUUCUAUUCAAGUCUGGAACACAGCCAGUGUCAGUAUCUUAAAAGUGGAAAAAGAAGAGAUAUGGAUCUAUUCGAGUGCAUUCAGAGGAGGACCACAAAAAUGAUCCAAGGAAUGGAACACCUCCCCUAUGAGGAUGGACUGGAAGAGCUGGGGCUGUUCAGCCUGGAGAGGAGAAGGCUCCAGGGAGACCUGAGAGUGACCUUUCAGUAUAUAAAAGAGGGCUGUGAGAAAGAAGGGGGUGGACUCUUUAGCAGGGUCUGUGGUGACAGGAUGAGGGAAAAUGGUUUCAAACUAGAAGAGGUAAGAUUUAGACUUUAUAUAAAGGAAAAGUUUUUUACAGUAAGGGUAGUGAGAAUACUGGAAUAUGUUGUCCAGAAAGACAGUGAAUGCUCCAUCCCUGGCAACACUCAAGGUCAGGCUGGAUGGGGCUCUGAGCUCUGGAUCGUGCUGAAGGUGUCCCUGUUCAUUGAAGGGGAGUUGGACUAGAUGACCUUUAAAGGUCCCUUCCAACUCUAAGGAUUGUAUGAUUCUGUGAUUCUAUCAAUGCAAAUGGCAAAAAUAACCUCUUCAAAACUUUUUUUUUUUUUCAGAAAAGAAAAGAAAAGAAAAGAAAGGAAAAGAAAGGAAAAGAAAGGAAAAGAAAGGAAAAGAAAGGAAAAGAAGAGAAAAGAAGAGAAAAGAAGAGAAAAGAAAAAGAAGAGAAGAGAAAAGAAAAAGAAGAGAAGAGAAAAGAAGAGAAAAGAAGAGAAGAGAAAAGAAAAGAAGAGAAAAGAAGAGAAAAGAAGAGAAAAGAAGAGAAAAGAAGAGAAAAGAAGAGAAAAGAAGAGAAAAGAAGAGAAGAGAAAAGAAGAGAAAAGAAGAGAAAAGAAGAGAAAAGAAGAGAAAAGAAAAGAAAAGAAAAGAAAAGAAAAGAAAAGAAAAGAAAAGAAAAGAAAAGAAAAGAAAAGAAAAGAAAAGAAAAGAAAAGAAAAGAAAAGAAAAGAAAAGAAAAGAAAAGAAAAGAGAAGAAAAGAGAAGAAAAGAGAAGAAAAGAGAAGAAAAGAAAAGAAAAGAUUUGUACAUAUCUGAAAUUUCUGAUGGCAAAAUCUUAUACAUUAAUACUUUACAUUGAUUCAGGUCGUUCUGUGCUUUAGAUUAGCAUAAAACAUUUCCUAUAUCAUUUACUGUUUGAAAAUAGGCAAAUAGGCCAUGACAAACUUGUCAUUAAGUUAUGUCUAUUUUUUUUAGUUAUGUUAAUCAUGAACAUAAAAUUAUCCAUCCAAAAUGCACUACGUGUGCAGGAUAGCCUUUGAAAAAGACUGCUCUUAAAGGGAAGAAGACAAGAAGAAAUAAAAAUGAAAGUGUUUCCAAUCAGUUUCCAGGUUUUCUUGGCUAAUAUCUAUUCAUUUUCUGUAAAUAACCUAGCUAUAUCUAUUUAUGUGUGUGUGUAUUCAAAGACACAUUCUAAAGAUAGUAUCCAGAGAAUUUUAAAUAAUUACUUUCAGAAGAGAAAUCAAUGUACUGAUGUAAAUACUUGCCCCUGAAGUCCAACUCUAAGAACUUUCAAUCUUAUGCAGAUUUAGGGAUAUACCAGUAUGUCUUAAUCUGUCAACAAGACAGAAGAAAUUUGAAUUUCUGAAUAAGCUAAAAAAAGUAAAUUAUACAUGAAUAUUCAUAAAUAUGAAAAUCUGCAUACUGAAAUAUUGUUUGUUCAAAACAUUCAAUGGCUUUUUUUGUAUAAUGAAAAUCUCAUGGAAAAUACGAUGUGAUUCCUAGAAAUUCACCCAAGAAAAACAAGCAGUAAAUUCCAUCAGUGAUUCCUAAUGAAUAGUUCAUCCUGCUAUUUAUUAGCCUAUUGAACUGCAGAUGAAUAACAUGGCUGUGAAUAAAUAUAGAUGUAUUUCUGUAAAUAACUAUUUAUUUUAAAUUCACUUUCUAACUUUUACAAAAUGUAUUCCUUAGUCUGUGAACUUUUGGCCAUCCAUACAGUAGAUAUGCUCCUUUCUGAGAUAUAGGCUUUUGCUCUAUCAUUGAGUAGCUCUUGCUAUCCAACACUAUAUGUUCUAGAUUUUUAUUUCACUACUUUUAUGAUUAUCUGAGUAACUUGAGUAUAUGUUUUUGCCCAGAGAAGCUGUUAUGCCCCAUGCAUGGAAGUGCUCAAGGCCAGGCUGGAUGGGGUCCUGGGCAGCCUGAGCUGGUAGGGAGCAACCAGCCCAUAGCAGGGUGUUGGAUCUUGAUGCUAUUUUAGCUCCCUUGCAACAUAAGCUGUUCUAUAGCACUGUGAUUAUAUUAUAUGUACAAAUAGGCUUAUUAUUUAUUUUAGAAUGUUUUUGCUAUUUGAAGAGGCAAUGUUGCCUCAUGAGAAUUGAGUCUGGUAAGAAAGGUUUGAUAGGCACAGAGAAAGAAUCCAUUGUAUACUCCAUUUUAUUUAGGGCUGGCCAGCAAAUCUAACUUAUAUCUUAUUUUUAUGUUAGCAGAGUACAACAGAGGAACAAUCCCCAGGUAGGGAUGAGAGCAGGAAAUACUGUUAAGCAGAAGUAAAUUGAUGUUAGAUACUAUUCAUACCCAAUAAAAAAUGGUUAUAAAUGUCAAUGAAAUACUUAUAAGAUACAAAAGAGAAUUCUCACAAAACUACUAAUCCCUUCUGGCCCUCUGGGGUCUGAAUGAUUUUAAAAGCCAACUAUGGAAGUAUGAUAUUUCUCGUAUAAAAAAAUACAUGUCAAUACUAAUACUAAAGUGAUCUACAUGUCACAAGUUAUCAAGAAAUUAAAUGGUAAAAGUUACAAACUGGCAACACACGUAUUUAGCAAUGGUUCAUAUUACACUAUUUCCUUUUUUGACUCUAACAUCUUUCUUGGUGCACCCAACUAAAUACUGGCUACUCAGAGUUUCAAUAUAACUUACGGAAACAUAAUUGCAAAGAAGUAGUGUUCCCCUCUUGAAAUCACGCUUCUAAGUCACCUACUGUAGCAAUAUGCUGUUUUUAUUUUGGUUAGUUGCAUUUUUCAUUUUACAAUAGCUUUAUUCUGUUCUUAUCUUAAUCCUUUAUUUCCCAUGCUACUCUAUAAUUUUCUUUGUUGCUUGAUCAAUUUGAAGCAUGUUUACACUUCACAUGGAGAUAAGAGAGUCGUGGUCUUUCUAUCCUCCCUGCUACCAGUCAGUCAGAAAUGCAUACCCAAACACAUUAGGGCACUGAGUACAAACUGAGUCCCACUGAGAGAUGGAUUUCUUCAGUUUCAACUUGGCACUCACACAGAUUUGAGUUUCAGACUGAAUUUGGCUCUUGUCUUAUCAUCUUCAAGGAUAAGAAAAGUGCCAUCAAUCUAUCUACCUUUACCAUUGCUGUUAAAUGUAUUGCUACAAUAUUCAAUGUUAUCUUCCUAAAAUUAGGGCAUCCAUAAGAUUUAACUUUACUUGAAAACCACUGUUCUUCUAUGCAAAGACAGAUUAUUGAUCAUCUGAGCUCUGUCCAACAUAAACCUUGACUGGGGUGCUUUAUACAGUGAGUAGUUGUACAUACAUGUGAGAGAACAAUGUAUUAGACUGCUGUCUGCUUCUCAGUGGCUCUUCACAUCUCUGUAAUAGUAGACUAUCAGGGAGAUGAAUUGGUGAAGGAGCAUAUGACUUAAAAGUAAAAAGUGAACAAUUAAUGGAUUUAUUACAAGUCAUGGUUUGCAUGCAUAAAGCAACAUUUUAAUAUAUCUUAAAUCCUAGCAGUCCAAUAAAUCAAGGACAGUAUUGAAGAGCAAAAUCGGGUCCCUGCAGUAUAGAAAGAAGGGCUUCAUAGCAAGAAAAGAGAAAGCAGCUUCACAAAGUAGACACAAGGGGCAAAUAGAAAUAGUUUAUAUAGAGAGUGUUAGAAAACAAGGGAUUCCAAGCACUUUCACAGGCACUAGAUCCAGAAUAACAAGGAGAAUGAAGGCCAUAAAGAUAAGGACCGGAGAACAGCUGAAAAGCAUUUGGCAGGGAGGUGAUUAGAUGUCUGAAGUGCAAGCUGAAACCAGUUCGGGGGAUGCCCCCCUCCCUUCAGGGUCAGAAGUUUGCAGCGAGGAAGACUAUGAGCCUUCGCAAGGCUAUUGGACUUCGUAUGCUAAUGGACUCUCGGGAAUGUAGUGAAUAUGUAUCCGAAUUCCUGAUUAUGUAGUGAAUAUGUAUUCGAAUUCCUCUAGAUUAUAUCUAUAGCACGAUUUCUUCGGACAGUGUGCAAGUUUGGUGGAACGAUCCCCCUUGCACCUUGGUGUACGCGCAUCACCAAUAAACACAUACCUGCUCUAUAUCCUUACUGGCUAUAGAGUCUGAUUUCCGCACGUCAGUAUAAACAUAGAAAAAGUGAUUCAUAGUAUGCCACACCAUAUUCAAAGUUUGUCCGCUGCUGUGGCUACCUAGCACAAUAGCAAAGAACUACCCAUCAGUGAACUGUCAGUUUUAUUUAUAUUGAUCCUAAAAUCACCUCUUGAGGUAUUUACACUUCAAACUGGAUAUGUAUGUCAGCCAAGAAAAGAAAAGCAACCUCUCACAGAACUGGCUCAGUUCCACUAUUACUGGAGAAAGGUGGGAGUAAGAAACAAAGAGUAUAGAUGUGUCGAAAAUUCCAAGGGCACAUCAGCAAUACAGGAAAUACUGUAAGCAAUUUAGAAAGUAAUUUUUUUUGUUAUUGUUGUUCCAUAAAUGAGGAAUAAUUCCAUCCUGGUGCCAUGAGAGAGAGAGUUCUGGUAAAGACUUCUUUUUUUUAUUUUUAAUUUCACCUGAGAAAAUCCACAAAGUUGAUUCACAAAAAUAAUAAAUAGCUUCCAUCUUCUUUAGAAGGAUAAAUCCAAACAUUAGUACAUUUUUUGUGGGUUCUAGAUGGGUAUAUUUCUUUUCAUUUCUGGCCUGAAGUCUUGCGAGAAAGUAUCUUCAAAGUGGUGAUCCCACCCAAGAUGCUGCUAAAGCAUCAUUUCAUGUUAGCCAGAAUAAAGUUAUCAAAUCACUGAUUCAGAAAAUAGGCACAGGGUGAGGGUGACCUGAAGAAGGACUGCUAUUUUACAUUCUCCACCACUAUGAUUGUCCAUCUACAAAAUUCUGAUCAGAAGCUAUCAAAACUCCAAAAGCUUGCAAAUUACUUUGGGGUAUUCCUUGUAAUAAUACACAAUACUUCUGAUUAACUAAACAGAUAAGGAAGGUAUGGUUUUGCUCAGGAACUGAAAAAGUGCUGGACAGUUUAAUGGCAAAGAUUUUCAGAAGAUUCAAAGACAUUUCAUAAAGAUUUAUAGAUUUUCAUGUAUAGUGUGGCAAAAACAACUGAAGCACUCUGCUUCUGUUCUUUGUAAAAUGCUGCAACAAUAUUUCACUUGCUUGAUCUGUUUCAUUUCAUAUUAAUCUGUAAAUUUUACUUGAAUUUUUGUGUCAUACUAACAGAAACCCAAUCAUUGCUUGAGCCUUUAAAAUUCCUAUGCAUAAAAAACAGAAUAGAAAAAAAACAUAGUAGGUUCAAGUUACAUGAAAGUAUAGUAGUAUCCUAUUUUUAAAUAAUAUAUUUUACUUAAGCUAUUAAUUAAUCUUUUACUUUAGUUCAUUUUAACUCCCUAUAUUGAUUUCCUAUUUUCCAUUACAAUGUAAUUAAUUUAGCUACACAUUCAUGUUUGUAU
ensembl:lncRNA